GUGCCAGGCAAUUAUCCGGUAAUGGUGUUAUACGAUAUGUACAAUUUACAUUUGGUGGAUAAAAAUUUGGAUAAUCAUAUGAUUGUAUAUGGCCAGUUACUUCGGUUACACAAAUUUCACAAAUUGAUGGUAAUGAUGAUAAUUUUUCAAUGGUUCAUGAUUCGAUAUUAAUGUAUCACAAUCAAUUUGUCUGGCCUGUAUCAUAAAUCCUUUUCGUGGUCGAAAUGAAACACUUCGAAAAUAUAUACGUUUUUCUGGUUCAAAAAAUGAUAAUCUUCCAUACAUUUUUCCGAUGGUUCAAUAUCAAAAUCAUUAAAAUAUAAUUCCAAUUUACAAUAACGACUAUUUCGUCUUUGUAUGGUGUAUACACAGCUUAAACUAG